GGGGAUUUAGCUCAGCGGCAUAAGUACCUGCCUUGCAAGCAGGCGGUUGUAAGUUCAAGCCCCG
rnacentral:tRNA from 1 species